rnacentral:rRNA from 1 species
AGCAGCAGCCGCGGGAAUACGGAGGGAGCUAGCGUCAUUCGGAAUUACUGGGCGUAAAGCGCACGUAGGCGGCUUUGUAAGUUAGAGGUGAAAGCCUGGAGCUCAACUCCAGAAUUGCCUUUAAGACUGCAUCGCUUGAAUCCAGGAGAGGUGAGUGGAAUUCCGAGUGUAGAGGUGAAAUUCGUAGAUAUUCGGAAGAACACCAGUGGCGAAGGCGGCUCACUGGACUGGUAUUGACGCUGAGGUGCGAAAGCGUGGGGAGCAAACAGGAUUAGAUACCCGUGUAGUCCCUGUCUCUUAUAC